rnacentral:SRP_RNA from 12 species
CUGUAGGAGGCCAAGAAGCCCGAGGAUCAUAAACAGAAGCAAAAAGGAGACGGCGGGAAAGACGCAGGCAAGAGAUCCCGUUCCACCAAGU